UACGGAGGAUCCGAGCGUUAUCCGGAUUUAUUGGGUUUAAAGGGAGCGUAGGCGGGUUGUUAAGUCAGUUGUGAAAGUUUGCGGCUCAACCGUAAAAUUGCAGUUGAUACUGGCAUCCUUGAGUACAGUAGAGGUAGGCGGAAUUCGUGGUGUAGCGGUGAAAUGCUUAGACAUCACGAAGAACUCCGAUUGCGAAGGCAGCCUGCUGGACUGUAACUGACGCUGAUGCUCGAAAGUGUGGGUAUCAAACAGG
rnacentral:rRNA from 1 species